rnacentral:lncRNA from 10 species
AGCACGUGGUAGCAAGGAUAAGAAAAGAAAAGAGGGACGUGGAGCAAGUAACAAUGUAAAGCAAAUUGAAGUGGUCCCUGAUUCUGGUCUUGAAUAGCGGAGGAGGAAAAGAAGAUGAUGGGGGAAAAGAAAAGAAGCCAUUUAUGCAUCCCUCCCUAAUUCAGUAUCCGAGCAUGAGGGAGUGUCAAGCUAGUGGGGAAGAAGAGAGGGUUUAGUUUUGAAUGAAGUUGGGAGUUUUUAUUAUUGCACUGAACUAAAUAGGCAUUUUACUAAAGUCAAGACUGUUCUUGUUAUUUAAAGGAACGGGAUCAUCAAUGGAACUCUUUGAGAUUUCAUCCAGAGGCUGGGAAAGAACAUUCAUGGUAGCUUUUAUUAUUAUUUUCAUUAUUGUAAGUUGAGGAAGAGAAAACCCAGG